GAUGAACGCUAGCGGCAGGCCUAAUACAUGCAAGUCGAACGAGAUUAAGAGGCUUGCUUCUUAUGAAAGUGGCGCACGGGUGCGUAACGCGUAUGCAACCUACCUUAAUCAGGGGGAUAGCCCGAAGAAAUUCGGAUUAAGACCGCAUAAAAACACAGGAUAGCAUUAUCCAAUGUUCAAAUAUUUAUAGGAUUAAGAUGGGCAUGCGUGUCAUUAGCUAGUUGGCGGGGUAACGGCCCACCAAGGCGACGAUGACUAGGGGAUCUGAGAGGAUGACCCCCCACACUGGUACUGGGACACGGACCAGACUCCUACGGGAGGCAGCAGUAAGGAAUAUUGGUCAAUGGAGGGAACUCUGAACCAGCCAUGCCGCGUGCAGGAAGACAGCCCUCUGGGUCGUAAACUGCUUUUAGUCGGGAAUAAACCUUUCUACGUGUAGGAAGCUGAAUGUACCGAAGGAAUAAGGAUCGGCUAACUCCGUG
rnacentral:rRNA from 1 species